CACGAAGAGCAGCAGGAGUGUUUGUGGAAAGCACGCGUUCCUUUUAUCUCAACACCUGCUCAGCUCUCUGUGCAGAUUGUGCAGAACUGGCUUCACUUUGACGGCCAACGCUGAGCAGACUGUGAUGUUGGACACUGUCUCCACUGCAGAACUGUAGCCCUCCAGGACACUGAGCAGCUUCCCAACGCACGGCUGAGAGGAAACAAAGACAGGAAGUUACACGUCUUUGAUCAUAAACUCUCAAAGCGAUCCAUCGCUUGUGUUUGAAGACACCUCUCUAGCCACCCCGUUGAACAUUGCAGAGCUUUCCUUCACUGCGAAGCAAGCACCGACCCACGGCCCGGAAAGGGACGAGGAGCCGGAGCCGGUCGGAGCUCCGCGAGCAGCGCUGAAAAACACCCAGAAAAGUGCAACCAAAGUCGGGUAAGAAGCCAUGGUGUCGGUGUGUUCCUGUGCUAAUGCUCUAAUGAUGAACUGAUGAUGCUCGUGCUCUCUGAUCAUCACCUUUUAUCUGCUGUCUACGGUGAGUCACACGUGCAGGGUUUUCCUCCAUCCUCGCGCUCC
rnacentral:lncRNA from 1 species